UACGAAGGGGGCUAGCGUUGCUCGGAAUCACUGGGCGUAAAGCGCACGUAGGCGGAUCUUUAAGUCAGGGGUGAAAUCCUGGAGCUCAACUCCAGAACUGCCUUUGAUACUGGGGAUCUCGAGUCCGGGAGAGGUGAGUGGAAUUCCUAGUGUAGAGGUGAAAUUCGUAGAUAUUAGGAAGAACACCAGUGGCGAAGGCGGCUCACUGGUCCGGUACUGACGCUGAGGUGCGAAAGCGUGGGGAGCAAACAGG
rnacentral:rRNA from 1 species